rnacentral:rRNA from 1 species
UACGUAGGGCGCAAGCGUUAUCCGGAAUUAUUGGGCGUAAAGAGCUCGUAGGCGGUUUGUCGCGUCUGCCGUGAAAGUCCGGGGCUCAACUCCGGAUCUGCGGUGGGUACGGGCAGACUAGAGUGAUGUAGGGGAGACUGGAAUUCCUGGUGUAGCGGUGAAAUGCGCAGAUAUCAGGAGGAACACCGAUGGCGAAGGCAGGUCUCUGGGCAUUAACUGACGCUGAGACGCGAAAGCGUGAGGAGCAAACAGG